GAAAUAAAUAUAGUAGUGUUCUACCUGUGGUAAAGUUAGUUGAAACAUAAUUUUUUAUUUACCUUUGCUGUUGGAUUUGCAUUGCCAUGAGGAGGGGCUGAGGACUGGUUUCCAUUCCUAUGUCAGAACCCCCAUAAAAGGUAUGGGAGGUAGGUUCCAGUUCUUAGCUGAGAACUAAGAUGAGAAGUGUAAACAACAGAAAUUAAUAAAUUAAAAAAAAUAGAUACUACAGUGAGCUGAAGUAGGACAAUCUUCUGUUCAUCAUGUUUUUACAGCAGUUUAUGGAGAAGGAAUUAAAUUCUCCUCAGCAAUGUAGCUACUAAAAACUAGGAGAAUCUGAUAUUCUUGAAAAUUAUCACUGCAAGCUAUUACAAAAUCAGUAUAUAGUUGAGGAAGCACUUCAUCACUUUGAGGUUACUACAAGAAGCAACUGCAAAGCAUUGCAAUUCCCUUAACAAGGUACUUGCAACUUCUGCAAAACAAAGCAAUUGAAUAAUUUCUGUUGAUCAAGGCGAGCUUAUCUCUGCCAAGGCUGUUUCAUUAUGGAUUUAUCCAGUCAGUGCUCCACUUUUUCUUGAAGCAACACUGGAAAGAGCCAUAAACUCCUUAAACUCAUGUACUUCCCAGUUACAGAAGGACAAGGCUGUCAGAAGGCAUGAGGCAGUUUUUAAAUUAAGGAGAACUCUGUGCGUAAUACCAUAAUGGGGAGCAUCCCAAUCUUGAGAGAUCACCUCCAAAAUGUUAAGAGCCUCCUAAAUAUGGUACACGCUAAUUACUCCAUAGACUAAAGCAUCUGAUCAUAAUUUUGUGUGAUGAUGGAAUGGAAAGAAAUAGUUGUUAGGAGUUUGUCUGUCUCUGUGUUUUACUCCUUUCUGUUGUUCUGUUCAUGCUGAAUUUCCCUCCUCAUUUUAAUGGGUGUAUCAUAAUAUACCUUGUAAUUCCUCAAGCAGAGUUAUCAGGAUACAAAUGAUUCCUCAGCUCUUCUAACUGCACUUCUAGGUAUCAGUGUAGCUUUUCCUAUUGUCCUGAAUUUAUUGGGCAAGUAAAAUGCGGGAAGUGUUCGUUAUUUGACAUAAUAGCGGCACCAUGUGGCUUGUGCUUGACUUUGCAUUGCAACAUCUAAAAUCCUACAGUAAAAUCCCACCAACUCCCUGGGAUGCUUAUUAUUAUAACACGCAUGAAAAUAACUUAUUUUAGCUCAUUAAGGGUAGCUGAUUUUGUUUUAGAAACCUUAAUUCUCUGCAUAUGAGAUAGAGUGUAUUCGGGGCAAGAAUGUAACUCCAUCUUGAAAAAGUUAUUAAAAAAUGAAAUAGCUUUCACCCUCUGCUGUUAACCUUCACUUCUUUGUGUUUACUUAUUUUUGUUACUCACAGAAAGCCAUGAAACCAUCCCUGAGCUCAUAUACAGGCGACUGUAUGUCCAACAAUAUGGAUUACAAUUAAUCAAACUGACCUGGACCUCAAGAAGUACCUCAGAUAGGGCUUUGUGAACCUGGCCUCCUGAUAUUUAGAAACUUAAUAAAUAUUACUUUAAUUCAGUUCUGAAAAAAGGGCACUGCUAGUAAUUUCUGGAGGCUCUGUGCUCUGCUGGUGCAAGAGACUCUCAAUAAUGGGACAAUGUUUUGACCAUUUUCCAGUAUCACACCUGUGACACUUUUAAGGGUCACUGUCAUUCGUGGCAUUUUGAAAAAAUCCUACCACACUUGUCACAAAAGUGAGGCAGUGACACAGUAUCAAAGGAUGCCACUCUUUGCACUUAUUCCUCUAUUGUUUCAUUUAUCCUUUGUAAACCAACCCUUAUAACACUACAGUUUGUUUCACAGCCUAUGUAAUGAUAUUUCUUCAUUAGUAAAUCACUCCAGAGGUUACUGUUCUGAUUGGAAAGAAAUAAAAACAUUGAUGUGUUUCUGUUUUGCUAGCCACCAAAUUUUCAGCACUCGGGAGGGCUCAAUCAAAAAACAUCCCAGGUAAUGUAUUUUGUUCCAGCAGCACAGUCCUAUGCCUUGGCUGUUACAUUUAUAUAUUGGUAAUGCUGGAGGUACUUAUUUCAUAUGUCGCAUCCUGAUUUUGCACCCAUAUUUCAGGGAUUUGACUUACAUAUUGAAGCAACAACUGAACAGCCUCUGCUAGCUAACAUUAUUUCUCAGAUACAUUCAGAUGAGAAUAAGAAUUUCAGAGCAGCAAUUGAUAGUCCAUUUGUGGCUUGGAUGGAGGCAAGAAGCAAGAAUCCCAGAGCAAAAGUAAUAGAACAAAGAGAACAGAGAAAAUGGGUUGGUAAGUGUACAGAUGCAUAAAUGAGAAGAAAGAAGAUCCUUUUGUUUUUUCAUUUUUGACAGCUAUCUAUCAUAUUCUCCUUUCAUUCAGAAGAAUGAAACAGCAACAGAGUAGAGAUACUCAACUUGCUUCAAAUUGAGUCCAUUGAGUUCCUAGCAGGGCGUGGGCCCGGGCCGGCCCCAGAACGCAUGCGGCGCGGCGGCGCAGCCCAGCCGGCCCUGGGCGCGGAAAGGAGCGAGAGAGGGGGAGCUUCGCCUGUGUGGACAGCGCCAUCGUGGGAGAUGAGAGGGGAGCCCCGGAACACACAGAAGAGAAGGAUAACUCUAAACCCAGGCAGAUGGAGCUCGUCAGCCCUGUAAGGCCAUUCAUCUAAGAGAAGGUCACUCUAAACAAACCUACGUCCUGAGGACCUCGCUGCCACUGUCCAAGCUCGCUCAGCCCCAGCAGACGAACCUUAGGAUUAAAGGGUGGGCUCAGUUCAGCGCACACUGUGUCUCACCUAAAAAAUCCACUGCGCAGGCUCGAAGGCGUUACCUGCAUUUGCAAAGCCCUGUAGCACCCGCGUGCUUGUAACGAACGUGGGUAGAGACCUUUCCCGGAUCUUCGUUCGGGAAGACUGGCCAUGAUGAUGAUGAAAUGUGUGUGCAACAUGUAAGUGAUAAUUAGCAGACAGGCUGUCUAGGUUACUGCAAAAAUUGUUGGAACCUUAAAUGAAGAUUCUUAAACUGUCUAACAUAUAAAACUUCUUUCUUUAAAAAAAAAUUAUAUUAUGAUAAACUGAUUUACAGAUGGAUAUUUAUAUUCAUCCCAUAGACUUAACAGUUGCUUUGUAAUCUUCAAGUAUUUAAGAAUAGAAAAAAGUACUUUAAGGAUUUACCCUGUCAUCUAUGUUCUCUCUGAAAAUUUUCUGAUUAAUAACAAAACUGCAGAAGUAUUAUUUUUGCUUCCUUCAUAAUCUCAGAUAUUUUUGAACAUGUUACUAUGUGGAAAAAAAUAUCAAGCUAUGUAAACUGCCACCACAUCACCAAUUUGAUUGUAAAAGUAUAUACUACUGUAGUAGAUUGUAUUGCAUUAUAAUUAGAAGAAGCCUUUAUACUUGAAAAUACUAGUUAGUGGAGAGUACCUCAUAUUCAAGUCUGGAAUCCAGUUUUAGGAAAGCUAACAGUGAACUGAAUUGAAAGAGAUGGAUGUUUCAUCAGAAACUCAGUUCAGGAAAAGCACUGAAACAUUUUAGGCAGAAGCAGUUUUUCCGUUUAGAGACUUAAAAAACCCCACAUUUUCCCCCCUCCUUUUCUGAAGGAGGAAAAUAAAACUUCCUAAACUCUGGUAGCUUGGAAAAUUCUUGUCUUAAUUUAAGAAAUUUCUCUGCAAGAACUUUACUCAAUAGAAUAUACCUCAAAAAUAAGUAAAUGUAAAUAGCUGCUUAACAUAGUAUAAUUUUAUCUAUAGACACAUUUCCAUUUCACUGCAACAGUGGUUUAUGAGCAUUAAUAUAUUUCUUUAUCAGUAGUAAUACUCUGUUCAUAGACUCUUGCAGAGAACAGAUACUAAAGCUGUAAAAGAAUCUGUGAAGGACCAGGAAUCAGAAUGGGGAAAAUUUCAGUAGUGGAAAAAGAUGUACAGUGAUUGAAAGGACUUUAUGAUACAGACUUUACAGUUAUUAUGUAUAUACACAUUGUAUGCUUCCACAGAAUUUGUAUUUCCCGGCCAUGUUCAGGCUUGUCCGCUCCCCUGCUUUCCUGCGGAUUGGCUGGAGAAGCUGCAGAGAGGAGACAGCCUCCAUUUGCCCCUUCUCUCCCCAGUUCCUCCCACGUUCCUCCCUCUUUCGCCUGUGCCCCUAUGCUGAUUUGCUUCCCCGUUUGUCUGUCUCAUGCUCCACCCCAUGUCCUGGCCCUUUCCCCACCUAAAACUCGUAAAACCCCGACACACCUCAAUAAAGCAUCCAUUUUGCACCUCUACCUUGUCCCCGAACCCAUCCGUGCUGUGUCACGGCCCCAUUCCCCUACCCCCUCGGACCGUGGCAAGAACCCCUUUGUUGUAGGUAUAAAAAUGCUAAGAAAUGUCUUUCAAAAUAAGAACUCCUCUUCUUAAAUUUUUUUUUUCAGCUAGACUUCUACAUCUAGACAGGAAUGUCUGCUUUAAAGUGUAUUUUGGAAGCCAUGCAGCCCAAAGGACUAGGCUGUGAGGUAACUGCCGAAUUCAGGCUUCUGGUAAUCUUUCUGGUAGCAUUGUGGAAAAAGCUGUGUCAAAAGGAGUCUUGGAAUAUACAGACAAGUGUUCCCCUUCUAUUUUAUUAUAUCUUUUCUGGCUGUAGAUCUGUAAGGACAUUAACAGGCAUCACAUCAACUUCUGCAUCUUUCAAACGCUGAAGAGUAAAGAUAAUUUAGUCAUUUCUGCUUUAUUUGGUGAAAGAAAGCAAAGGUUAUAGCCUAAUUUCUAGAGUGAUGUGAGGGUAGUACAUCAUAAGGUGUAAACAAACAAACAAACCCCAAAAGUAAAGUUAUAAAUUAAUAUUGAGCUGCUGUGUCCAGACACACGCUGAAGCUUCUGUGCCUGAUCUAUUGCCCCCAACAGCACAAUGAUUUUUUUAUCAAGACUGUAUAGCAGUAAAUAUAAUUGCCUUAUUGAUUUCUCUCCCCUUAGAUAUCCAUGUGAGCAGCACUAGAGGAGAGCUGUGCUAAACACAGGCACAUCUGCAAUGUCUUGGAACUUAAGGUGACAUUUGUGGAUUUUCUUUGCAAUCCCGUUUCCAGGAUUUCCACUAUUAUAUCCUUUGCAGUACAACUAUCCGCAGCGUGCUGCAGUCAGGGCAGUGGGCCACACUUUGAGGUGUCCACCGUGUCCUAAAAUAGGGAAUGUCCACCUCUGUAAUGAAAUGAGCUUUGAGGCUUUAAGGUAAAGCAAAGUGCUGAUGGCAAAUAACCAGUGGCAUCUAACUGAACUUCAGGCUAUUGAAUUAAAUUGGAAGGAAUGUGACAGUAUUUCCUACUUUUGUUUUUCUACCCUGGCAGGCUUUUCUGGUCUUUCCAGCUCUGACAGAAAAUGUAGCUGCUAAUAGACACCACCUGCAUUACUUUGGAAGAACAUCCCCUUGGUGUUUUGAGCUAAAUUUGUGAUUUAAAAGAAGUAAUCCCAAGCCACAAUUUUCUUUAAAAAAAAAAAAAAAGAGAAUAAGAAAGCACCAAAUCUUUCUGGAGGGUUAAUUAAACC